GGAUGUGAGGAUGAUCUGUCACCCUACUGAUCACCAGAGUUGCUUCAGCUUGCCUGAUUGGCUAAAAGGGUAUCCUCUUCCUCCCUCACAAGUCCAUUGCAUCCUUCUUGAAGAUACACACUGGUCAAAGAGGACGACAUUCCCUAAAUAGACUGGUCUUUUGUCAAGGAUUUUCUUUGCUAGAACCUCCAAACAAGCUCUCAAGGUUAUAACUGAAUAUUAAUAUUUAAUAUUUACAUAUCACUUGCUAUUAUUUGUAAGGUAGAUA
ensembl:misc_RNA 7SK 7SK RNA